UUCUGUCUUUAAAGCUCAAUAAAGAGUGAAUCCUCAGUCUGAACUGUUUGUUGUCUGAAGGUCAAAGAUGAGAAUGAAGAUAAAGUGACGUAUGAGACGAUCAACAUGUCCACUCCUGCUGCUGCGAGAGACAAUGAGCAGACAGAUGAUGUGACUUACUCUGAAGUCUCUUCUUCCAGUAAAAAGCCAGUGAAAUCAGUCAAAGAUCAAGAUGAUUCAGUGACUUACGCUGCCAUCAGAGGAACACAAAAUUAGCCGC